GGCAGAGAGUCCUGAGCCUGCACUGUUGUCCGUGCCUGCGGGGUGCUGGGUGCUGCCUCCUCAGCUUCUGUGGAGCCAGGCAGGGCAGGAAGGGUGGAUGCAGUGACAGAGCCAUCAGCUGUGCUCGAUGUCCCCGCAGACAGCGUGGCAGUCCCUGCAGCUGACCUUUCCUCUUCCAUGUCCACAGCUCCCACCACAUCACCAUUCACGGUGCUGCUGGCAGUGCCGUUGGCCAUGCUGCUGCUGGGCGUCAGGCUCUUGGGCGGCUGCCGGUGCCGGCUCCGUGCGUUAGGACUUUGCUCCCCACUGCCUGCACCCUGCCUGGAGGCCCCGGCAGCGAGGCGGUGUGUCCUUGAUCUGCUCCCAAAGCAGUUUGUGGUGGCAGACUGAUGUCUGCUCUCCGUGGCUGCAGCCAUGCUGCUGGGGUCCCGUCCAG
rnacentral:lncRNA from 1 species